rnacentral:rRNA from 1 species
UAGGGAAUCUUCGGCAAUGGGGGGAACCCUGACCGAGCAACGCCGCGUGAGUGAAGAAGGUUUUCGGAUCGUAAAGCUCUGUUGUUAAGGAAGAACGAGUGUGAGAAUGGAAAGUUCAUGCUGUGACGGUACUUAACCAGAAAGGGACGGCUAACUACGUGCCAGCAGCCGCGGUAAUACGUAGGUCCCGAGCGUUGUCCGGAUUUAUUGGGCGUAAAGCGAGCGCAGGCGGUUAGAAAAGUCUGAAGUGAAAGGCAGUGGCUCAACCAUUGUAGGCUUUGGAAACUGUUUAACUGGAGUGGAGAAGGGGAGAGUGGAAUUCCAUGUGGAGCGGUGAAAUGCGUAGAUAUAUGGAGGAACACCGGUGGCGAAAGCGGCUCUCUGGUCUGAAACUGACGCUGAGGCUCGAAAGCGUGGGGAGCGAACAGG